ensembl:lncRNA
AGAGGAUUAUGCCUGCAGGGAUGAGGACAGUUCAGUUUCAGAGCUGUAUCUCCUUGGUAUGACUGUUCCUGAUGGAUUGUGAACAGAAUUGUAUUGUGAAAUAUAUGCGCUUAUUGGAGUUGCUGUUAACUUCAUAAUUGCUCUGUAAUUACUAAAGAGAGAGAAUCUUGCGCUUCUGACAGCCAGUCUCACAGGAGGAGGAUGGCUUCUCCCACCACACACUGCCUCACAGUGCUCUUGUCCUGGCCUGACCUGACUGUCAUGAAGCUUGCUAUGGAUUUUGUACCUGCGCUCUGACUGUUGGGCUGCAUCAGAACUUCUCUGCUCAAGAGAACCCGUUUGCAUCGCAGCUGUGAGCAAGUCCAGCUUCUCUUGUGACACACAGAAAACUGUGAUUCAGCUCAGGUAGCUCUCUUCGUUACAUGAUGACAAAAGGGUGAUGUGUUGCUGGCCCGCUGGGAGGCCACCCACGGCCCUCAGUGUCCCAGCAUGUUCCUGUGCAUGUGAACAUCCCUGAGGCUGCUUCCUGGAGAUGUCUGUCACAUCACACGGGCCAGUUCCACUACGUGCCAGUGAUCCAUGCUAUGGCUUUGGUAUUUUCUGCUGGACGUACUUUCCAGUGCAUCCUGGGAGCAUGCUUGUAUUGCCGUAACUGCAUCCCAUGGGCACCCCAAAUCAUUAAUCACCAGUGUGCUCUUUUCCUCUUCUGCUGGUUCCAGACGAGUUCCCAGUUCAUAGCCAGUUGGAGUUUGAUAUAUCAUCCAAUGAUUGCUCUUUGAGUCAUUGGAAGCUCUACGAAAAGAAGAAAAACAAAUUUACAAGCUGCUGUGGUAGUGUCGUAGUCUAACUGAGCAUCCACGGCAUCAGCUGGAGAACUGUCCUGAUGGUGCUCUUGGAAUUUGGGUCAGACUACAUAAUGCUCCAAACAAGCUGUGAAGAAAGCUGCAGGAAGAUCUGAGAGGCAUCCCCAUGAGGACAGGGAUGGGUAAUUAUUUAUUUUUUUAAGCUUGCUCAAAGCCCUGCGCCUACCUGUGGCCUGACUCAAGGCUCCUGUUGGCUUUGGGGAGAGCUGGCCAAAACCAGUAUGUUGGACCCCACUUGUCAUGCUCUUGGCACUUUUGCAGAAGGAGCUGGAAGGACAGCUCACCCCAGCUUGUGUCACAACAGCAGAGAUCAUGUUUGCAUCUGCAAGAGAAGCUGCAGUCAACAACAUGGUGCCAACAGUCUCCAGGUGAAUGCAGCUGGUGUGCUUCUGUUUCACUGAACUUUUAUCUACCAUAUAAUCAUGAAUGGGAGUCCCUCUACAAAGUGGGUCUUCACCCCACUAUUUGCAUUCUAUUUCUCUGUCUAGUGGCACUGUGGCUAUUUUCUUUGCUCCCUGAACUGUCCAGCUUUUCCUUCCUUUUUCCCUUCCUAGCCCCUUCCCUCUUCAUUUCUAUUCCAGUAUGUUUUCACAAGAUGACCUACUGAAUAUUAGUAUCUGGGUAAAGACUACCUCUUUGUGUCAAACCUCUGGCUUCAUCACAACACCAUAAACCACCACUGGAAAAUAAAACAAUAAAGCAGAGGUGUAUGAGG